rnacentral:rRNA from 1 species
UACGGAGGGGGCAAGCGUUGUUCGGAAUUAUUGGGCGUAAAGAGUAUGUAGGCGGUUAGACAAGUCAGGUGUGUAAGCCCAGGGCUCAACCCUGGAAUUGCAUUUGAAACUGUUUAACCUGAGUUCAGGAGAGGAAAGCGGAAUUCCCAGUGUAGCGGUGAAAUGCAUUGACAUUGGGAAGAACAUCGGUGGCGAAGGCGGCUUUCUGGUCUGAUACUGACGCUGAGAUACGAAAGCUAGGGGAGCGAACGGG